CUCGCCAGGGAACAACGAGCCCCAGCUUAAAACCCAAAGGACUUGGCGGUGCUUUAGACCCCCCUAGAGGAGCCUGUUCUAGAACCGAUACUCCCCGUUCAACCUCACCCUCUCUUGUUUUCCCCGCCUAUAUACCGCCGUCGUCAGCAUACCUCGUGAGAGCCCCAUAGUAAGCAGAAUUGGCAUAGCCUAAAACGUCAGGUCGAGGUGUAGCGCACGAGGGGGGAAGAAAUGGGCUACAUUUACUGUGCUCAGUAAAUACGGAUGUUGCACUGAAAUAAGCAUCUGAAGGAGGAUUUAGCAGUAAGCGGGGAACAGAGCGCCCCCCUGAAAACGGCCCUGAAGCGCGCACACACCGCCCGUCACUCUCCCCAAACAACGCAUAAGAUAUUUAAUACACCUAGGCCCACUCAACAAGGGGAGGCAAGUCGUAACAUGGUAAGUGUACCGGAAGGUGCACUUGGAAAAACC
rnacentral:rRNA from 1 species